rnacentral:rRNA from 1 species
CACGUAGGGGGCGAGCGUUGUCCGGAUUUAUUGGGCGUAAAGAGCUCGUAGGCGGCUUGUCACGUCGGAUGUGAAAGCCCGAGGCUUAACCUCGGGUCUGCAUUCGAUACGGGCUAGCUAGAGUGUGGUAGGGGAGAUCGGAAUUCCUGGUGUAGCGGUGAAAUGCGCAGAUAUCAGGAGGAACACCGGUGGCGAAGGCGGAUCUCUGGGCCAUUACUGACGCUGAGGAGCGAAAGCGUGGGGAGCGAACAGG